GAUGAACGCUAGCGACAGGCUUAACACAUGCAAGUCGAGGGGCAGCGGGAUUGAAGCUUGCUUCAAUCGCCGGCGACCGGCGCACGGGUGAGUAACACGUAUGCAACCUGCCCGCCACAGGGGAAUAACCGGAAGAAAUUCCGACUAAUUCCGCGUGACACCCCGGCAAGGCAUCUUGCCGGGGUCAAAGGAGCAAUCCGGUGGCGGAUGGGCAUGCGGCGCAUUAGCUAGUCGGCGGGGUAACGGCCCACCGAGGCGACGAUGCGUAGGGGUUCUGAGAGGAAGGUCCCCCACACUGGUACUGAGACACGGACCAGACUCCUACGGGAGGCAGCAGUGAGGAAUAUUGGUCAAUGGGCGAGAGCCUGAACCAGCCAAGUCGCGUGAGGGAAGACGGGCCCCUAACGGGGUUGUAAAACCCUCUUUUUGUCCAGGGGAGCAAAGGACGGAUACGCGUAUCCGGGCGAGAGUACCUGAAGAAAAAGCAAUCGGCUAACUCCGUGCCAGCAGCCGCGGU
rnacentral:rRNA from 1 species